UGGCGGACGGGUGAGUAACGCGUGGAAAACCUGCCGUAUACUGGGGGAUAACACUUAGAAAUAGGUGCUAAUACCGCAUAAGCGCACAGCUUCGCAUGAAGCGGUGUAGAAAACUCUGGUGGUAUACGAUGGUUCCGCGUCUGAUUAGCUAGUUGGUGGGGUAAUGGCCUACCAAGGCAACGAUCAGUAGCCGGCCUGAGAGGGUGAACGGCCACAUUGGGACUGAGACACGGCCCAAACUCCUACGGGAGGCAGCAG
rnacentral:rRNA from 1 species